rnacentral:tRNA from 1 species
GAAAGGGCAAAAAGAACUGCUAACUCAAAAACCUAACGCUAACCCGAUAGACCUUUC